rnacentral:lncRNA from 1 species
GCCGAGCAUAUGACAGGGGUUCCAAUAUGCCACUAGCAAGUUACAUGACCUACAUCCGAGUGACUUCCCUCGUCACAGACACGCGGUUCCACGCUGACGCAGGAAUGAGUAGAAAGGUGGCGGGACUGGACGCAAGGACCGUUCUUACAGUUAGAGCCCCCCUACACACUAAGGACCCAGCAGCUCUGCACGUCAUUGGUUGACACCAUCGGUGCAGAUGUCAAUACCAUGAAAAAGACAAAGAACAUCUUCAUGUUGUUAUGAAAACAGCUUUGAUUCAGAGGACCCCUGGAGCAGUCACGGAGACUUUUCGGGACCUUCAGACCACCCUUUCGAGCAGCUGCGACGCAUCAAGCAGAGGUCCUUCUCAACUCAUCUGUCACCAACCAACCGGCAUCGCCACUGCCUUCCAGAUGCUGACAUAUCCACAAUUCUAGGGUUGGUAUCUAUGCCUCAUACGGGCUUUUACUAGAUGGACUAUAGUCGUAGAAG